GAUGAACGCUGGCGGCGUGCCUAAUACAUGCAAGUCGAGCGAACAGACGAGGAGCUUGCUCCUCUGACGUUAGCGGCGGACGGGUGAGUAACACGUGGAUAACCUACCUAUAAGACUGGGAUAACUUCGGGAAACCGGAGCUAAUACCGGAUAAUAUAUUGAACCGCAUGGUUCAAUAGUGAAAGACGGUUUUGCUGUCACUUAUAGAUGGAUCCGCGCCGCAUUAGCUAGUUGGUAAGGUAACGGCUUACCAAGGCAACGAUGCGUAGCCGACCUGAGAGGGUGAUAGGCCACACUGGAACUGAGACACGGUCAAGACGCCUACGGGAGGCAGCAGUAGGGAAUCUUCCGCAAUGGGCGAAAGCCUGACGGAGCAACGCCGCGUGAGUGAUGAAGGUCUUCGGAUCGUAAAACUCUGUUAUUAGGGAAGAACAAAUGUGUAAGUAACUAUGCACGUCUUGACGGUACCUAAUCAGAAAGCCACGGCUAACUACGUG
rnacentral:rRNA from 1 species